UACGUAGGCAGCAAGCGUUUGUUCGGAGUUACUGGGCGUAAAGGGUGUGUAGGCGGUUGUUUAAGUUUGGUGUGAAAUCUCCCGGCUCAACUGGGAGGGUGCGCCGAAUACUGAAUGACUCGAGUGCGGGAGAGGAAAGUGGAAUUCCUGGUGUAGCGGUGAAAUGCGUAGAUAUCAGGAGGAACACCGGUGGUGUAGACGGCUUUCUGGACCGUAACUGACGCUGAGACACGAAAGCGUGGGGAGCAAACAGG
rnacentral:rRNA from 1 species